rnacentral:rRNA from 1 species
GACGAACGCUGGCGGCGUGCUUAACACAUGCAAGUCGAACGGAAAGGCCCUGCUUUUGUGGGGUGCUCGAGUGGCGAACGGGUGAGUAACACGUGAGUAACCUGCCCUUGACUUUGGGAUAACUUCAGGAAACUGGGGCUAAUACCGGAUAGGAGCUCCUGCUGCAUGGUGGGGGUUGGAAAGUUUCGGCGGUUGGGGAUGGACUCGCGGCUUAUCAGCUUGUUGGUGGGGUAGUGGCUUACCAAGGCUUUGACGGGUAGCCGGCCUGAGAGGGUGACCGGCCACAUUGGGACUGAGAUACGGCCCAGACUCCUACGGGAGGCAGCAGUGAGGAAUAUUGCACAAUGGGCGGAAGCCUGAUGCAGCAACGCCGCGUGCGGGAUGACGGCCUUCGGGUUGUAAACCGCUUUCGCCUGUGACGAAGCGUGAGUGACGGUAAUGGGUAAAGAAGCACCGGCUAACUACGUGCCAGCAGCCGCGGUGAUACGUAGGGUGCGAGCGUUGUCCGGAUUUAUUGGGCGUAAAGGGCUCGUAGGUGGUUGAUCGCGUCGGAAGUGUAAUCUUGGGGCUUAACCCUGAGCGUGCUUUCGAUACGGGUUGACUUGAGGAAGGUAGGGGAGAAUGGAAUUCCUGGUGGAGCGGUGGAAUGCGCAGAUAUCAGGAGGAACACCAGUGGCGAAGGCGGUUCUCUGGGCCUUUCCUGACGCUGAGGAGCGAAAGCGUGGGGAGCGAACAGGCUUAGAUACCCUGGUAGUCCACGCUGUAAACGGUGGGUACUAGGUGUGGGGUCCAUUCCACGGGUUCCGUGCCGUAGCUAACGCUUUAAGUACCCCGCCUGGGGAGUACGGCCGCAAGGCUAAAACUCAAAGGAAUUGACGGGGCCCCGCACAAGCGGCGGAGCAUGCGGAUUAAUUCGAUGCAACGCGUAGAACCUUACCUGGGUUUGACAUGGAUCGGGAGCGCUCAGAGAUGGGUGUGCCUCUUUUGGGGUCGGUUCACAGGUGGUGCAUGGCUGUCGUCAGCUCGUGUCGUGAGAUGUUGGGUUAAGUCCCGCAACGAGCGCAACCCUUGUUCACUGUUGCCAGCACGUUAUGGUGGGGACUCAGUGGAGACCGCCGGGGUCAACUCGGAGGAAGGUGGGGAUGACGUCAAGUCAUCAUGCCCCUUAUGUCCAGGGCUUCACGCAUGCUACAAUGGCUGGUACAGAGAGUGGCGAGCCUGUGAGGGUGAGCGAAUCUCGGAAAGCCGGUCUCAGUUCGGAUUGGGGUCUGCAACUCGACCUCAUGAAGUCGGAGUCGCUAGUAAUCGCAGAUCAGCAACGCUGCGGUGAAUACGUUCCCGGGGCU